GUCUUCAAGUAGUCAUGGAUUUCCUACAACAGUCAAAAAUAUGUUAAGCUUACCACAAACAUGAACCAUAUAAGACUUUGCAGCAUACAAAUAAAUCAGGUCUGCAGUUUCUCUAAGAUGGGUUUUCAACUAAACACCUUACAAACUUCUUAACAUAUCUUCCAACUAAAAGAACAUCAUUGGCUUCUCAUAAAUGACUCAUCGAUGCUGACUUAAUCACUUUACAAUUCCAUGGUCACAAGCAAAUCUAAAACUAAAACUGAUCAAACCAAAAUGUAAUGGAAUUCCUCUUCCCAUUUUACACGACUCUCACACUACAAGGUAAGAAUUCAAAUCUACACAAUCCAGCAGAUAUAGAACAAGCUCCGAGUAGAUCACAUAAUUCACUAUUGAGUCUCCUUAUCAAAUUUCUGGUAAGGCUUACACAACCAAGUAAGAAAAUAGUUCUAAACAACCCAAUACAGGAUAAACAUAGACUAGGUUGCAUCAGAGAAAAGCAUCAUAUAAAGCUUGAAAUUAGAGUCUACCCUCCUUCUGAAUCCUCAUUUCUGCUUCAUAAGUAAAUAUCCCAGAAACAGUUACAUCAGACAGAAUGAUCCCACAACGACAUUAACGAAAAAAAAUAAAGCAUACUAGAGAUGUAAAAGUUGAAAAUUUGAAGGAAAAAAAACACUACUUUGAUGCAGAGAUUUCCAGUGC